rnacentral:rRNA from 1 species
CACUCCUACGGGAGGCAGCAGUGGGGAAUUUUGGACAAUGGGCGAAAGCCUGAUCCAGCAAUGCCGCGUGAGUGAAGAAGGCCUUCGGGUUGUAAAGCUCUUUUGUCAGGGAAGAAACGGUGAGAGCUAAUAUCUUUUGCUAAUGACGGUACCUGAAGAAUAAGCACCGGCUAACUACGUGCCAGCAGCCGCGGUAAUACGUAGGGUGCAAGCGUUAAUCGGAAUUACUGGGCGUAAAGCGUGCGCAGGCGGUUUUGUAAGUCUGAUGUGAAAUCCCCGGGCUCAACCUGGGAAUUGCAUUGGAGACUGCAAGGCUAGAAUCUGGCAGAGGGGGGUAGAAUUCCACGUGUAGCAGUGAAAUGCGUAGAUAUGUGGAGGAACACCGAUGGCGAAGGCAGCCCCCUGGGUCAAGAUUGACGCUCAUGCACGAAAGCGUGGGGAGCAAACAGGAUUAGAUACCCUUGUAGUCCCAUGAU